rnacentral:rRNA from 1 species
UCCGGUUGAUCCUGCCGGACCCCACUGCUAUCGGGAUAGGACUAAGACAUGCUAGUUGAGCGCUUCCAGCCAAUACGGAAGCGCAGCGCACAGCUCAGUAACACGUGGCUAAUCUGCCCUUGGGACCGGAACACCCCCGGGAAACUGGGGCUAAUUCUCGAUAGGUGAAGAACUCUGGAAUGAGUCUUCGCUUAAAAGACGUUUACGUUAUGCUCGUAGGCGUCGCCCAAGGAUGAGGCCGCGACCGAUCAGGUUGUUGGUGAGGUAAUGGCUCACCAAGCCUUUUACCGGUGCGGGCCGUGAGAGCGGGAGCCCGGAGAUGGGCACUGAGACAAGGGCCCAGGCCCUACGGGGCGCAGCAGUCGCGAAAACUUUGCAAUACACGAAAGUGUGACAGGGCUAUCCCGAGUGCCAUCCGCUGAGGAAGGCUUUUACCCAGUCUAGAACGCUGGGGGAAUAAGGAGAGGGCAAGUCUGGUGUCAGCCGCCGCGGUAAUACCAGCUCUCCGAGUGGUGUGGAUGUUUAUUGGGCCUAAAGCAUCCGUAGCUGGCUGAGUUAGUCCCUUGUUAAAUCCACCGAAUUAAUCGUUGGAUUGCGGGGGAUACUGCUCGGCUAGGGGACGAGAGAGGCAGACGGUAUUUCCGGGGUAGGGGUGAAAUCCUAUAAUCCCGGGAAGACCACCAGUGGCGAAGGCUGUCUGCUAGAACGCGCCCGACGGUGAGGGAUGAAAGCUGGGGGAGCGAACCGGAUUAGAUACCCGGGUAGUCCCAGCUGUAAACGAUGCAGGC